AACGAACGCUGGCGGCAUGCCUAACACAUGUAAGUCGAACGAGAUCCUUCGGGGUCUAGUGGCGCACGGGUGCGUAACGCGUGGGAAUCUGCCCUUAGGUUCGGAAUAACAGUUAGAAAUGACUGCUAAUACCGGAUGAUGACGUUAAGUCCAAAGAUUUAUCGCCUGAGGAUGAGCCCGCGUAGGAUUAGCUAGUUGGUGUGGUAAAGGCGCACCAAGGCGACGAUCCUUAGCUGGUCUGAGAGGAUGAUCAGCCACACUGGGACUGAGACACGGCCCAGACUCCUACGGGAGGCAGCAGUGGGGAAUAUUGGACAAUGGGCGCAAGCCUGAUCCAGCAAUGCCGCGUGAGUGAUGAAGGCCUUAGGGUUGUAAAGCUCUUUUACCCGGGAUGAUAAUGACAGUACCGGGAGAAUAAGCCCCGGCUAACUCCGUG
rnacentral:rRNA from 1 species